rnacentral:rRNA from 1 species
GAUGAACGCUGGUUGCGUGCCUAAUACAUGCAAGUCGAGCGAACAGAUAAGGAGCUUGCUCCUUUGACGUUAGCGGCGGACGGGUGAGUAACACGUGGGUAACCUACCUAUAAGACUGGGAUAACUUCGGGAAACCGGAGCUAAUACCGGAUAACAUAUUGAACCGCAUGGUUCAAUAGUGAAAGGCGGCUUUGCUGUCACUUAUAGAUGGAUCCGCGCCGUAUUAGCUAGUUGGUAAGGUAACGGCUUACCAAGGCAACGAUACGUAGCCGACCUGAGAGGGUGAUCGGCCACACUGGAACUGAGACACGGUCCAGACUCCUACGGGAGGCAGCAGUAGGGAAUCUUCCGCAAUGGGCGAAAGCCUGACGGAGCAACGCCGCGUGAGUGAUGAAGGUCUUCGGAUCGUAAAACUCUGUUAUCAGGGAAGAACAAAUGUGUAAGUAACUGUGCACAUCUUGACGGUACCUGAUCAGAAAGCCACGGCUAACUACGUGCCAGCAGCCGCGGUAAUACGUAGGUGGCAAGCGUUAUCCGGAAUUAUUGGGCGUAAAGCGCGCGUAGGCGGUUUUUUAGUCUGAUGUGAAAGCCCACGGCUCAACCGUGGAGGGUCAUUGGAAACUGGAAAACUUGAGUGCAGAAGAGGAAAGUGGAAUUCCAUGUGUAGCGGUGAAAUGCGCAGAGAUAUGGAGGAACACCAGUGGCGAAGGCGACUUUCUGGUCUGUAACUGACGCUGAUGUGCGAAAGCGUGGGGAUCAAACAGGAUUAGAUACCCUGGUAGUCCACGCCGUAAACGAUGAGUGCUAAGUGUUAGGGGGUUUCCGCCCCUUAGUGCUGCAGCUAACGCAUUAAGCACUCCGCCUGGGGAGUACGACCGCAAGGUUGAAACUCAAAGGAAUUGACGGGGACCCGCACAAGCGGUGGAGCAUGUGGUUUAAUUCGAAGCAACGCGAAGAACCUUACCAAAUCUUGACAUCCUUUGACCGCUCUAGAGAUAGAGUUUUCCCCUUCGGGGGACAAAGUGACAGGUGGUGCAUGGUUGUCGUCAGCUCGUGUCGUGAGAUGUUGGGUUAAGUCCCGCAACGAGCGCAACCCUUAAGCUUAGUUGCCAUCAUUAAGUUGGGCACUCUAAGUUGACUGCCGGUGACAAACCGGAGGAAGGUGGGGAUGACGUCAAAUCAUCAUGCCCCUUAUGAUUUGGGCUACACACGUGCUACAAUGGACAAUACAAAGGGCAGCUAAACCGCGAGGUCAAGCAAAUCCCAUAAAGUUGUUCUCAGUUCGGAUUGUAGUCUGCAACUCGACUACAUGAAGCUGGAAUCGCUAGUAAUCGUAGAUCAGCAUGCUACAGUGAAUACGUUCCCGGGUCU